GAUUUUUGUGUGGGUUGGUGUGGGGGUGCGGGUGGGGAUUUUCCCUCCUCGUCACCCCCUCCCACCACACAUUCGGAACCGGUCGGCUUCGGCCUCCCGGCUCCACAAUACUUUGAGAAAAAGAAAGUGUUCCAAGCAGUCUUUCGACCUGAAUACAUUAGCAUGGAAUAUACACAACGGACUCCCGUCCUUGUGGUUGGUUUUUGGACCGAGUCAUGAUUGAUAGGGACAGUUGGGGGUGCUCGUAUUCCGUGAGGACAGGUGAAAUUGAAUGAUCCACGGACGACGAACUACUGCGAAAGCAUU
rnacentral:rRNA from 1 species